rnacentral:rRNA from 1 species
UAAGCCGGGAAUGGAAAGCCCGGUGCAAGCGGGGUACCAGUCACUUUGGCAAAUCCGGGUGGCAAUGGGAAGCCGUGAUGCGGAGCGAAAUAAAGUAGCGAAGUCCGUGAGCCAUGCGCCAAGAAAAGCCGCUAUCGUUUAUACCGUACCCGUACCGUAAACCGACACAGGUGGAUGAGGAGAGAAUCCUAAGGCCGGCGGAAGAAGCAUUGUCAAGGAACUCGGCAAAAUGGCCCCGUAACUUAGGGAUAAGGGGUGCCUGGGAAACCAGGCCGCAGAGAAUAGGCUCAAGCAACUGUUUAGCAAAAACACAGGUCUAUGCGAAACCGAAAGGUGAGGUAUAUGGGCUGACGCCUGCCCGGUGCUGGAAGGUUAAGAGGAGAGGUUAGCGGUAACGCGAAGCUUUGAAUUUAAGCCCCAGUAAACGGCGGCCGUAACUAUAACGGUCCUAAGGUAGCGAAAUUCCUUGUCGGGUAAGUUCCGACCCGCACGAAAGGCGUAAUGAUUUGAGCGCUGUCUCGACAAUGCAUCCGGUGAAAUUGAAGUACCAGUGAAGAUGCUGGUUACCUGCGCCAGGACGGAAAGACCCCAUGGAGCUUUACUCCAGUCUGGUACUGGGACUCGGUAUUGCAUGUACAGGAUAGGUGGGAGGCUAGGAGAUGGUAACGCCAGUUGCCAUGGAGCCGCUGUUGGGAUACCACCCUUGCAGUAUUGGGUUUCUAACCAGCCGCCGUGACCCGGCGGUGGACAAUGCCAGACGGGGAGUUUGACUGGGGCGGUCGCCUCCGAAAGGGUAUCGGAGGCGCCCAAAGGUUCCCUCAGAAUGGACGGAAACCAUUCGAAGAGUGCAAAGGCAGAAGGGAGCUUGACUGCGACACCGACGGGUGGAGCAGGUACGAAAGUAGGGCUUAGUGAUCCGGUGGUAUUAAGUGGGAAUGCCAUCGCUCAACGGAUAAAAGCUACCCUGGGAUAACAGGCUUAUCACUCCCAAGAGUUCUCAUCGACGGAGUGGUUUGGCACCUCGAUGUCGGCUCAUCGCAUCCUGGGGCUGUAGUAGGUCCCAAGGGUUGGGCUGUUCGCCCAUUAAAGCGGUACGCGAGCUGGGUUCAGAACGUCGUGAGACAGUUCGGUCCCUAUCCGGCGUGGGCGUAGGAUAUCUGAGAGGAGCUGUCCUUAGUACGAGAGGACCGGGAUGGACGGGCCGCUGGUGCAUCGGUUAGACUGCCAAGUCUACCCCGAGUAGCCAAGCCCGGAAGGGAUAAACGCUGAAGGCAUCUAAGCGUGAAGCCCCCCUUAAGAUGAGAUAUCCCAUUCGAAAGAAGUAAACCCCCUUGAAGACGACGAGGUAGAUAGGGCAGAGGUGGAAGUGCAGUAAUGCAUGGAGCUGACUGUUACUAAUCGGGUGAGGGCUUGACC